GUUGAAAUUGUAGAUUUCGUACAUGAC
rnacentral:sRNA from 1 species